UUAAAAAAUUCUGUAGUGCUUGCACUCGAGCGGACAGAAGGGAGCUUGCUCCCGUGUAUGUUAGCGGCGGACGGGUGAGUAACACGUGGGUAACCUGCCUGUAAGACUGGGAUAACUCCGGGAAACCGGAGCUAAUACCGGAUAGUUCCUUGAACCGCAUGGUUCAAGGAUGAAAGACGGUUUCGGCUGUCACUUACAGAUGGACCCGCGGCGCAUUAGCUAGUUGGUGGGGUAAUGGCUCACCAAGGCGACGAUGCGUAGCCGACCUGAGAGGGUGAUCGGCCACACUGGGACUGAGACACGGCCCAGACUCCUACGGGAGGCAGCAGUAGGGAAUCUUCCGCAAUGGACGAAAGUCUGACGGAGCAACGCCGCGUGAGUGAUGAAGGUUUUCGGAUCGUAAAGCUCUGUUGUUAGGGAAGAACAAGUGCGAGAGUAACUGCUCGCACCUUGACGGUACCUAACCAGAAAGCCACGGCUAACUACGUGCCAGCAGCCGCGGUAAUACGUAGGUGGCAAGCGUUGUCCGGAAUUAUUGGGCGUAAAGGGCUCGCAGGCGGUUUCUUAAGUCUGAUGUGAAAGCCCCCGGCUCAACCGGGGAGGGUCAUUGGAAACUGGGAAACUUGAGUGCAGAAGAGGAGAGUGGAAUUCCACGUGUAGCGGUGAAAUGCGUAGAGAUGUGGAGGAACACCAGUGGCGAAGGCGACUCUCUGGUCUGUAACUGACGCUGAGGAGCGAAAGCGUGGGGAGCGAACAGGAUUAGAUACCCUGGUAGUCCACGCCGUAACGAUGAGUGCUAAGUGUUAGGGGGUUUCCGCCCCUUAGUGCUGCAGCUAACGCAUUAAGCACUCCGCCUGGGGGAGUACGGUCGCAAGACUGAACUCAAAGGAUUGACGGGGGCCCGCACAGCGGUGGAGCAUGUGGUUUAUUCGAAGCAACGCGAAGAACCUUACCAGGUCUUGACAUCCUCUGAACAACCCUAGGAGA
rnacentral:rRNA from 2 species